rnacentral:lncRNA from 1 species
GAGCCUUGGCCGCGGUGCUGGGCGCCCGGCGCCGUCCGCCCCCGGGCUGGACCCUCCUAGGACCCGUCGGGGGACGGUCCGCCCUACCUUGGCUACCUUCUCCAGCCCGGGAGUCGGGAGUUUUCUGGGGUGGGGUCACGGGUCUUGCCCGGAGUUCGCCCUGGCAAAGGCCUGUGCCAGUGAUCCUGGAGCGGAGCGAAGUGUUUCCGUGACUCUGCAGCCGCAGUUCUUAGGCUUCCUUAGCCUUCUCUUCGCCUUCCUCCACCUUUCCCUAACACCUCCCUGAAAACACAAAUACAUGGACUCAUUGCCCGUUCCCUGACUUUCACCCCAAUUUCAGCGUUGCAAACCAAGGACUCCAGCUUUGGAACGUCUUUUUCUGACAUGUUUUUAUCACUCUCCGUUCUUCACCGACUCUGCAGCUCCCCAUCCCCCGCCCCCCCAGCGCAACCCCC